rnacentral:rRNA from 1 species
GACGAACGCUGGCGGCGUGCUUAACACAUGCAAGUCGAACGGUGAAAGCGGAGCUUGCUCCGCUGGAUCAGUGGCGAACGGGUGAGUAACACGUGGGCAACCUGCCCCUCACUUCGGGAUAACUCCGGGAAACCGGGGCUAAUACCGGAUAUGACCUCCUUGGGCAUCCUUGGAGGUGGAAAGUUUUUCGGUGAGGGAUGGGCCCGCGGCCUAUCAGCUUGUUGGUGAGGUAGUGGCUCACCAAGGCGACGACGGGUAGCCGGCCUGAGGGGGCGACCGGCCACACUGGGACUGAGACACGGCCCAGACGCCUACGGGAGGCAGCAGUGGGGAAUAUUGCGAAAUGGGCGAAAGCCUGACGCAGCAACGCCGCGUGCGGGAUGACGGCCUUCGGGUUGUAAACCGCUUUCAGCAGGGAAGAAGCCGCAAGGUGACGGUACCUGCAGAAGAAGCACCGGCUAACUACGUGCCAGCAGCCGCCGUAA